AGGACGAACGCUGGCGGCGUGCUUAACACAUGCAAGUCGAGCGGAAAGGCCCUUCGGGGUACUCGAGCGGCGAACGGGUGAGUAACACGUGAGUAAUCUGCCCUUAGCUCUGGGAUAGCUCCGGGAAACCGGGAUUAAUACCAGAUAUGACCACUUUAGACAUCUUUUGUGGUGGAAAGAAUUUCGGCUGGGGAUGAACUCGCGGCCUAUCAGCUUGUUGGUGAGGUAAUGGCUCACCAAGGCGACGACGGGUAGCCGGCCUGAGAGGGCGACCGGCCACACUGGGACUGAGACACGGCCCCAGACUCCUACGGGAGGCAGCAGUGGGGAAUAUUGCGCAAUGGGCGAAAGCCUGACGCAGCGACGCCGCGUGGGGGAUGAAGGCCUUCGGGUUGUAAACCCCGUUUCAGCAGGGACGAAGCGAAAGUGACGGUACCUGCAGAAGAAGCGCCGGCUAACUACGUGCCAGCAGCCGC
rnacentral:rRNA from 1 species